rnacentral:rRNA from 1 species
GUGGGGAAUAUUGGACAAUGGGCGAAAGCCUGAUCCAGCCAUGCCGCGUGUGUGAAGAAGGUCUUCGGAUUGUAAAGCACUUUAAGUUGGGAGGAAGGGCAGUAAGUUAAUACCUUGCUGUUUUGACGUUACCGACAGAAUAAGCACCGGCUAACUUCGUGCCAGCAGCCGCGGUAAUACGACGGGUGCAAGCGUUAAUCGGAAUUACUGGGCGUAAAGCGCGCGUAGGUGGUUUUGUAAGUUGGAGGUGAAAUCCCCGGGCUCAACCUGGGAACUGCCUACAAAACUGCAUGACUAGAGUACGGUAGAGGGUAGUGGAAUUUCCUGUGUAGCGGUGAAAUGCGUAGAUAUAGGAAGGAACACCAGUGGCGAAGGCGACUACCUGGACUGAUACUGACACUGAGGUGCGAAAGCGUGGGGAGCAAACAGGAUUAGAUACCCGUGUAGUCC